AUGGCAGACAAUACCGACAGAGAGGGAGAACAGACCAUGUUCGAUAUGAUACGCGGGCCAAAUGAUGAUCAGAAUGAAGAAGAUUAUGAUGGCUCCGAAUUUCUAAACAACACCGGAGAGGGUGAUAUGAUAUUCGAUCGCGACGACCAAAUUGAUGAAGUCAUGAACUACGAUUAUGACGAUGACGAAGAACAUGUUGAUCCUGAAACAACAAAGACCGGCGAGCCAUCCGGAUCGAGCAAAUCUUUAGGCAAAAGGACGAAACGAGGCCCGAACAAAAAGUUGAAGGAGGGCGUAAAGUACAAUAUCGAGGCAAUCAGACCUAGUGGCGAACCAUUAGCGCCUAAGAAGAUUGCGGACAAGUUCGUUCGUCAGUGCGGAGUUCUUGUGAAGGACCAACUCCCGAUCUCCCUUCAAGAAUGGAGAGAGCCAGCAAAAGACAAAAGACAAAAAGACAAAGAGGACGCUGCUCCACGUCCAGAUGUUACUUUUGUCGACAAGAAUCAAAAAGAUCUGCUUUGGAAUACUCUCAUGGAACAUUUCACCCUACCAGAUCAUUUCACAAAAGCAGAUGUGCAGAAAGUCAAGGACGCUGCUCUUAGGAAGAUGGCGGUUGCAUUCAAGAACCACAAGAAUCGUGAAUGGGACAAGUACGUCAAGGGAGGAAGGAAGACUCCAGUAUUCGAGGGAACACUAGAGAACCAACGUGCUCAUUGGGACGAUUUCGUGAAAUUCAAGGAUUCGGAAUUAGCUAAGGAACGGUCGAGAAUAAACAAGAAGAAUGCCGAAAAAAAGGAUAAGUUCCAUAAGCUGGGGCCAGGUGGCUAUGUGGUGGCAAUGCCUAAGUGGGAUAAGUCUGAGAAAGAGAUGGAGGAUGCAGGUGCCACUCCGGUUACUAAGAGCUGGCCCCCCAGGGUCAGGACUUGGUUCUAUGCGCAUGGGGGGGAGUUGGACCCGAAGACAGGCAAUGUUUCGACGAGGGCAAGUCUGAAGGGAGCCGACAAUGCGAUACUUGUUGCAAUAGAAGAGGCACAAUUGGGGGUGUUCCAGCCCAACAGAGAGAACGACAAGCUUACGCGUGCCCUGGGAAAUCCUGAACACCCGGGAAGAACACGAGGCAAGGGCGCUAUUCCGUGGUAUGAGGGGUUCUCAGACUGGAACACCGACUACAGAACCCGUGCGAGAAAGAAGAUUGCGGAGGAGAAGAAGAGGAAGAUGGAGGAGGAGGAGAGGAAGCAGGACUAUGAACGCCUUCAAGGCCUAGAAGCAAGUCAAGCGGAAUUGGUAGUCAAAUUCCAGCGGCAGCAGGAGCAGAUCGACUCACUUACCCAGAAAAGGGGGUCUCAGCAGCUGCAGCAGCUAGCGAAUGAUCCAGCAUUGGAUAGCACCGCCCCAUCCAUGCCGAGAAGGAGCAUGGGUUCCGCCCCGGACGACGCAAUGCUGGGUAGAUACCCCGUGGAUGACAUCACGGAGAACACUAGCUGCGAGCUACACGUCAAAAUGAAGAACAUAUCCAUGAAGGUGGCGGACGCCAUUGCUUUUACAAAUCCCCCCGAGGCAACCUUCCAUUGCAACCCGAUUCCAGGGGGCUAUGCUCGUGUCUUGGUUGAUGAGGUGGUGGACCCAUAUUCGGAGCUAGAGCUUGACUAUCCUGGAGGUGACGACGAGCGCUUUCUCGGAGAUGCCAAACAUCGUAUCAUCCUAUGGAAAAAGGAUUGCAUCAUCAUUCGAAGGCCACCGACACCGCGUCAGCCGACUCCUUGUCGAAGUCCACCACUGAGUCAGCAGUCUCCCGCUCCUGCAAGUCCACCAAGUCCGGCAAAGUGUUAG
rnacentral:rRNA from 1 species